UCUGUCCCAGAGGCAUUGCAGGUGUGACUGCUGUGUCACAUGUAUGUCAAUAGGUGGCAGAGGGAAGAGAGGCUAUGUCUAUGCUCAGUGUUUUGACUGUAAACAUUGACCUAUAAAUGAUUGGUAGCCUAAAAUU
ensembl:snoRNA Gm24125 small nucleolar RNA SNORA17